rnacentral:rRNA from 1 species
GAUGAACGCUGGCGGCGUGCUUAACACAUGCCAGUCGAACGGAAAGGCCCAAGCUUGCUUGGGUACUCGAGUGGCGAAAGGGUGAGUAACACGUGGGUGAUCUGCCCUGCACUUCGAGAUAAGCCUGGGAAACUGGGUCUAAUACCGGAUAGGGCCACAUUUUGGAUGGUGUGGUGGAAAGUUUUUCGGUGUGGGAUGAGCUCGCGGCCAAUCAGCUUUUUGGUGGGGUAAUGGCCUACCAAGGCAUCGACGGGUAGCCGGCCUGAGAGGGUGUACGGCCACAUUGGGACUAAGAUACGGCCCAGACUCCUACGUGAGGCAGCAGUGGGGAAUAUUGCACAAUGAGCGAAAGCCUGAUGCAGCGACGCUGCGUGGGGGAUGACGGCCUUCGGGUUGUAAACUCCUUUCGCUAGGGACGAAGCGCAAGUGACGUUACCUGGAGAAGAAGCACCGGCUAACUACGUG